rnacentral:rRNA from 1 species
ACGAAUACUAGCCCAACCCUCAUAAAAUAAAACUAAUAACUUUCAAUAAACUAAAACAUUCACCCUGAUUAAAGUAUAGGAGAUAGAAAUUUUAUUUGGCGCUAUAGAGAAAAGUACCGCAAGGGAAAGAUGAAAGAACUAUUAGAAGUAAAAAACAGCAAAGAUUACCCCUUGUACCUUUUGCAUAAUGACUUAACUAGAAAAAACUUGACAAAGAGAACUUUAGCCAAGAAACCCGAAACCAGACGAGCUACCUAAGAGCAGCCAUAAGGGCAAACUCGUCUAUGUGGCAAAAUAGUGAGAAGACUUUUAGGUAGUGGUGAAAAGCCUACCGAGUUUGGUGAUAGCUGGUUGUCCAGAAAAAGAAUUUUAGUUCAACUUUAAGCUAUGCCAGACAAACCUAUAAUUUAAAUGCAAGCUUAAAAUAUAAUCUAAAAGGGUACAGCCUUUUAGAAGCAGGAUACAACCUUAAUUAGAGAGUAAGUACAGAAACUUUUAUAGUCGGCUUAAAAGCAGCCACCAAUUAAGAAAGCGUUCAAGCUCAACAAUCCCCAUAUAUCAUAAUACAAAUAUUAUAUUACGAACUCCUAAUUUAACACUGGACCAAUCUAUUAUAAUAAUAGAAGAGAUACUGUUAAUAUGAGUAACAAGAAUUAUUUUCUCCCUGCACAAGUUUAUAUCAGAACGGAUAAGCCACUGAUAGUUAACAGUGCGAUAAAUAAAACCUCCAAUAAAACAUUUAUCAAAUUUACUGUUGACCCAACACAGGAGUGCAAUAAAGGAAAGAUUAAAAGAAGUAAAAGGAACUCGGCAAACAUAUACCCCGCCUGUUUACCAAAAACAUCACCUCCAGCAUUUCAACUAUUGGAGGCACUGCCUGCCCAGUGACAUCCGUUAAACGGCCGCGGUAUCCUGACCGUGCAAAGGUAGCAUAAUCAUUUGUUCUCUAAAUAAGGACUAGUAUGAAUGGCCACACGAGGGUAUUACUGUCUCUUACUUCCAAUCAGUGAAAUUGACCUUCCCGUGAAGAGGCGGGAAUGCAAAAAUAAGACGAGAAGACCCUAUGGAGCUUUAAUUAACCAGCCUACAAAUUAAUAUCUUAACUCCAAGGAGAGCAAACACUGUUUUAAUAGACUGGCAAUUUGGGUUGGGGUGACCUCGGAACACAAAACAACUUCCGAGUGAUAAAACUCUAGACUAACAAGUCAACAUAAACAAAAUAAUCACUUAUUGAUCCAAAGUUUUUGAUCAACGGAACAAGUUACCCUAGGGAUAACAGCGCAAUCCUAUUUGAGAGUCCAUAUCGAUAAUAGGGUUUACGACCUCGAUGUUGGAUCAGGACAUCCCAAUGGUGCAGCCGCUAUUAAUGGUUCGUUUGUUCAACGAUUAAAGUCCUACGUGAUCUGAGUUCAGACCGGAGUAAUCCAGGUCGGUUUCUAUCUAUUUCGUGUUCCUCCCAGUACGAAAGGACAAGAGAAACAAGGCCAACUCAACAAGAGCGCCUUAAAAGCCAAUAGAUGAAAGCAUAUUAAUCUAAUAGCCACAAAUAAACGACAAAACUACCCUAGAAUAGGUA